AUUGAACGCUGGCGGCAGGCCUAACACAUGCAAGUCGAACGGUAACAGGAAGAAGCUUGCUUCUUUGCUGACGAGUGGCGGACGGGUGAGUAAUGUCUGGGAAACUGCCUGAUGGAGGGGGAUAACUACUGGAAACGGUAGCUAAUACCGCAUAACGUCGCAAGACCAAAGAGGGGGACCUUCGGGCCUCUUGCCAUCGGAUGUGCCCAGAUGGGAUUAGCUAGUAGGUGGGGUAACGGCUCACCUAGGCGACGAUCCCUAGCUGGUCUGAGAGGAUGACCAGCCACACCGGAACUGAGACACGAUCCAGACUCCUACGGGAGGCAGCAGUGGGGAAUAUUGCACAAUGGGCGCAAGCCUGAUGCAGCCAUGCCGCGUGUAUGAAGAAGGCCUUCGGGUUGUAAAGUACUUUCAGCGGGGAGGAAGGGAGUAAAGUUAAUACCUUUGCUCAUUGACGUUACCCGCAGAAGAAGCACCGGCUAACUCCGUG
rnacentral:rRNA from 1 species